rnacentral:rRNA from 1 species
GCGCGAAACCUCUGCAAUAGGCGAAAGCCUGACAGGGUUACUCUGAGUGGUUCCCGCUAAGGGGAUCUUUUGGCACCUCUAAAAAUGGUGCAGAAUAAGGGGUGGGCAAGCCUGGUGUCAGCCGCCGCGGUAAUACCAGCACCCCGAGUGGUCGGGACGAUUAUUGGGCCUAAAGCAUCCGUAGCCGGACAUGCAAGUCUUCCGUUAAAUCCAGCCGCUCAACGGUUGGGCUGCGGAGGAUACUACAUGGCUAGGAGGCGGGAGAGGCAAGCGGUACUCAGUGGGUAGGGGUAAAAUCCUUUGAUCCAUUGAAGACCACCAGUGGCGAAGGCGGCUUGCCAGAACGCGCUCGACGGUGAGGGAUGAAAGCUGGGGGAGCAAACCGGAUUAGAUACCCGGGUAGUCCCAGCUGUAAACGAUGCAGACUCGGUGAUGGGAUGGCCUCGAGCCAUCCCAGUGCCGCAGGGAAGCCGUUAAGUCUGCCGCCUGGGGAGUACGGUCGCAAGACUGAAACUU